GUAAUGUGAAUUGCAGAUUUUCAGUGAAUCAUCGAAUCUUUCAACGCACCUUGCGCCCCUUGGUAUUCCGAGGGGCAUGCCUGUUUGAGUGUCAUU
rnacentral:rRNA from 1 species